UGUUACUCUGCCUCGGGGAAGGCUGGAGCCAGCUGCAGAGGCAGCAACUCAAGGACAGACCUAACUUGCUGAUUUGUCUCCAUAGCAUUCACCCCUCAGGUGUGGAUCUCGGGAUCCACAGGACCACUGCCUGCCCUCAGCCUAAAGUGGGAGCCUAAAGAUAUCACAAGGAUGUGACAAUCCAAGUCCCCCCUUGACAGAUAUCCUGGCACUGGUCACUAGGUCUCAGCGGUGUGGUCUUUAACCCUGGAACUCUGCAUCGCCUUGGAUCUGGACCCCGCCCCCUCAGGGUAAGGAUGGGGUCUCCUGGUCCUGCUCCACGGAAGGACUGACAGACCGACUGUGAUCAAGAUUGUUUCCUUCUUCCUUCCUAUUUAGGAACUUGAAAGUGUGUGUGUGUGUGUGUGUAGGGGGCAGAGUUUCUUCUCUCUGAGCUCUUUCAGGUACACAAUGAUCGGAAGAGCCCACCCAGCCCCUUGGACUUUCAGUUUCACCUGCUUUCAGUCUGCAUUCUAGAAGGCCUGACUACUGCAGCCAGAUAGACUUCCGCUUACUAGGCGUGUCCGCUGCCUUCCAGCAAUGGAAAAGGUUCUCUUUAUCUUCUCUGAGGAUAGACUGUACUGUGCUCUUUCUUUAAAGCAAUCUAAGCAACUACCCUGCCCCAUAGCUGGUAGAGGCAUAGCCUGGAGGGGUCUCUGGGGUGUCACCAGUGACACUCUGACAGUGUUUCUAACUUUGGACAUUGAGCCUUUAAAAAAUGACUCAAAUCUUAGCACUGCACUUAGCAGUGCAAAGUAUCAUAAGACUCCUGAGCUUGAAGCCUGUAGCCACAUUAGGGCGAGGGUGGUGAUGUGACCCAUUUGAGUUAAGUCCCAAGGCUACACCAUGCCCAUCUCUCACCCCUGGAGAUCUGAGUCUGGUGUCCACUGUCCUCCAUAUUGUAGCCUCAGAUUUUAGUCAGAGGAUACUGACCUACGUAUGGCUAAUAGGACAGGUACAACUUCCAUAACCUCCCUCACAUACCUAAAAGCAGGGUUGAGGGGAGGUGUGGUUGGAACAAAGAGCUCACUCAAGUGAUUCAAAAGCCUUCCUGUCAACUGUACCCCUUUACAUCACACACAGCCUGAGCACUACAAACACUUUUAGGGGAGUAUUUUUAGAUUCUAAGAUGUUCCAAACUCCAGGAAAGAUAUUUUUCUAACUUGGGCAUAUUAAACAACUCAUAAGCAGUCCAUCCAAAGGCGCUAGGACCAUUAUCAGUGCGGAGCUGUUACACCAGACAGAAGUAAUUGCCAGGACCUAGAACACCACCUCUGGUCCCUGAGAGGCUGCGUCAGGAACACCAGCCAGCUGGCUCCAACGUUUCCAGUCAUCUGCUUGUACCGCAGCCAUGUGGAUCCUUACUGAAAAGCCUGAAAUUUCUCAAAAAGAAGAAAAAAAAAUCCAACCAGCAAAACAAAACCGUCUAAAGUUUCCUCAAAAGCAGUGUGCUUGUGUGGGCCUGGGGAGACGCUCCGUCUCCAAACUGUUUGCUUCAGAGAUGUGAGGACCCAAAGUUCUGAUCCCCAGUAGCAUGUGAAAAAGCCAAGUGCUGUGGUGCAAACCUGAAAUCCCAGAAGUGGGUAUGCAAAGACAUGAGGGUCUCUGGGCGUCCUGACUAAUCAGCAUGGUGGAAUGGAUGGACGCCAUGAGAGACCCUGUCUCAAAGAAACAAAGUGGAGAGCCACCUGAUAAUAGCCUCUGACUUUCUCAAGCUUCCGCCUUCAACUGUGUGUCUAAUCACACAUAGGCACACGCUCACGCUCAUUUCCCCCUCAUUAGCCUACACCCCAUUUAAAAACAACCACCAUAGCCUGGCCUGUAUUUAACUUUUUUUUUUCAAAUGUGUUUUCGGAGGUUUUUUUCACUAUUCCAUUUGUGUUUGCAAAAUGAGUGCAUUAAAGAUCUUUUAGGGGCUGGAGAGAUGAUGGCUCGGUGGUUAAGAACACCGACUGAUCUUCCUGAGUUCAAUUCCCAGCAACCACAUGGUGGCUCAUAACCAUCUGUAAUGGGAUCCCAUGCUCUCUUCUGGAGUGUCUGAAGACAGCUACAGUGUACUCAUGUACAUAAAAUAAAUAAAUCUUAAGAUCUUUUAGUCAUAA